UAAUUAAGAACCAAUUUUUUCAUGAUUAUAUUGGCUUCGUCCCUAAUUUGGGUUAAGCACCUUGGACAAGGGAUUAAGCGAGUGACAAAGACAGAGUACCAAGGGGACAUAUUUUCUUGCAUCAUUAUCCUGAAAGGGAAUGGAAAGGAAAGGAGAUGAAGGAACAGUAAUGUUAAAGUCACCUCAGUCUAAGCAAACACCCCUCCAUGAUUUUAACUCCCUCCCUAUAAUUCCUUCCAACCUUUCACCUACCAUUUGAAGAACUAAACCCACAUCUUCCAGAUGGGGUGGCUUCACUUCCUCGUCUCCCCCUUGAAGAAGUUUUGGGAUCGUCUGCAUUUUGGCCACAGAAAGCGUAGAGGGAUAUACAUUCUGUACAAGGACGUGAAGUCUUGCCCAUGUGAAGAUGUGCAUGUCCUGUGGUCAAUCCUGGUUGAAUCUCACCAGCCAACAUCUUUGCCAUCGAAAUGAUAUAUAAAAUACACAGGUCCUGCAGGAGUCCCUGCUUCUCAGGUGGUGGUUCUUCUGUUCUAUUUAGUUAUUAACUACAUUCUAAGCUGAGUCUGGCUACAUGGAAUCCAUGAACAGGAAUGUUGUGAAGCAUAGGUAAUUGGCCAAGUAUGGUUUGCCUUGGCAUUUGCCAAAGAUGGUAGCCGAUAACAAUGCUCUAUAUAUAUGCGUGCAUAGAUACAUAUGCAGAGCAACUGCAUUAUGUUAAUGUAUACUCAGAAGAAAGUUUAACUUAUUGUAUAAAUUGAAUAAUGUGACAUCUAGAUUCUAUUA